rnacentral:rRNA from 1 species
UGGCGGCAGGCCUAACACAUGCAAGUCGAGCGGUAACAUUUCUAGCUUGCUAGAAGAUGACGAGCGGCGGACGGGUGAGUAACGCGUAGAAAUCUACCUAGUAGUGGGGGAUAGCCCAGAGAAAUUUGGAUUAAUACCGCAUACGCCCUACGGGGGAAAGCGGGGGAUCUUCGGACCUCGUGCUAUUAGAUGAGUCUGCGUCGGAUUAGCUUGUUGGUGAGGUAAUGGCUCACCAAGGCGACGAUCCGUAGCUGGUCUGAGAGGAUGACCAGCCACACUGGAACUGAGACACGGUCCAGACUCCUACGGGAGGCAGCAGUGGGGAAUAUUGCACAAUGGGCGCAAGCCUGAUGCAGCCAUGCCGCGUGUGUGAAGAAGGCCUUAGGGUUGUAAAGCACUUUUCAGCAGUGAGGAAAGGGGUGUCGUUAAUAGCGCCAUCCUGUGACGUUAACUGCAGAAGAAGGACCGGCUAACUCCGUG